rnacentral:lncRNA from 1 species
AAAAAAAAAUCCUGAUGACAUCACUGUUCUAAGAUGGAACUUCUAAUAUUUUAGGAAUCUCUUGGGAGUUCUGUUCCCUAUUCUGUCAUUGAUUUGCUUUCUGACCUUGGGAAAGUUUAAGUAUAAAAAGACAAGUGCAAAGGAAAGUUAUGAAAACAAGACUGAGAUCAAAUGAAGAACAAAGAUGGAGUAGGUCCAUAACUGACCCACAUUCCUUGAGCUUACAAUAGAUCUCCAGGAGAUGACCACUACGCAUGAGGACAUAUUUAUCAACAUGCCUUGCCCAGUUGCUGCAGGAAAGAGGAAAUACUCUCUUAGCUCUUCCUCGUUUGAUUUUCAGAUGAUUCCAGGAAUGUUCUGCAUUGACCUAGUUUUACUUGCACAUUUUUCACGAGCAUCAAAUAGUGGAUGAUCUUUCAAGCUUGAACAGCAACAGUUGUAUUGCUGAGGAAGGAUUUCUUGUUUCAAAUUGUCUAGGUAAUGAUUUACAGCUAUUUUUGGUAAUUCUCAAAAUGACAGCUCCUUGAAUUUUUCUGUAUGCAGAAAAAUUUGCUGGGCUAGCAUCUUUCAGACCCCGGGAGGUUCAUCCCAAUCCUUGGCAUGUGGGAUCAAGGGAAUGCUCUGAAAUCCUCGCUGUAGAGGGAAUUGACUUGUCCAACAUUAUCUUGUGAUACAUGUGAAUGUUUGACGAGGUAACUCUAAAUAUCUGCGGACUCCUGAGGCCUGAGAUUUGUGGCAGGAUGAACCCAUGUGUUGGGUGAUAUUACGUAUAGGCCUUAGGCCUUCCAAGACCAAACCUGAUAAGUUGAACCUAUGAUGAUGGUUGAGCUCCUUUGAAGAGGACUCACAGUACUUUGCAGCAUCUUGCUUCAUACAGUAUUCAAUAAACGGUUGCUAAAAAGUGGAAAAGAGGGCC